rnacentral:lncRNA from 1 species
GCAAAUUCGUCCUCAGUUCUGGCAAAUUCUACGGGGACCAGGAGAAGGAUAAAGAGCCAAGAUGCCCGAUUUUACGCGCUGUCCGCCAGAUUCGAACCCUUCAGCAACAAGGGCCAGACACUGGUGGUACAGUUCACCGUGAAGCAUGAGCAGAAUAUCGACUGUGGGGGCGGCUACGUGAAGCUGUUUCCGGGUGGCUUGGACCAGAAGGACAUGCAUGGAGACUCAGAAUAUAACAUCAUGUUUGGUCCGGACAUCUGCGGUCCUGGCACCAAGAAGGUUCAUGUCAUCUUUAACUACAAGGGCAAGAACGUGCUGAUCAACAAGGAUAUCCGGUGUAAGGAUGAUGAAUUCACACAUCUAUACACGCUGAUUGUGCGGCCAGACAACACCUACGAGGUGAAAAUUGACAACAGCCAGGUGGAGUCGGGCUCCUUGGAGGAUGAUUGGGACUUUCUGCCGCCCAAGAAGAUUAAGGAUCCUGACGCUGCCAAGCCAGAAGACUGGGAUGAACGAGCCAAGAUUGAUGACCCCACAGAUUCCAAGCCUGAGGACUGGGACAAGCCAGAGCACAUCCCUGACCCUGAUGCUAAGAAGCCUGAGGACUGGGACGAAGAGAUGGAUGGAGAGUGGGAACCACCAGUGAUUCAAAAUCCUGAAUACAAGGGCGAAUGGAAGCCACGUCAAAUUGACAACCCAGAUUACAAGGGUACCUGGAUACACCCAGAGAUUGACAAUCCUGAAUACUCCCCCGAUGCGAAUAUCUAUGCCUAUGAUAGUUUUGCUGUACUGGGCUUAGACCUCUGGCAGGUCAAGUCUGGCACAAUUUUUGACAACUUCCUCAUCACCAAUGAUGAGGCCUAUGCAGAGGAGUUUGGCAAUGAGACCUGGGGUGUCACCAAGGCUGCAGAGAAGCAGAUGAAGGACAAGCAGGAUGAGGAGCAGAGGCUUAAGGAAGAAGAAGAAGACAAGAAGCGUAAAGAGGAAGAGGAGGCCGAGGAUAAAGAGGAUGAGGAUGACAGAGAUGAAGAUGAAGAUGAAGAGGAUGAGAAGGAAGAAGAUGAGGAGGAUGCCACUGGCCAAGCCAAGGAUGAGCUGUAGAGGCCACACCACCUGCCUCCAGGGCUGGACUGAGGCCUGAACACCCCGCCACAGAGCUGGCUGCUCCCAAUAAUGUCUCUAUGAGACUCAAGAACUUUUCAUUUUUUUUCCAGGCAGGUUCAGGUCUGGGGUGGAUUCUGAUUUUUGUUCCCCUGCCUCCCCAUCCUCCCCACCCCCCUUUUUUUUUUACUGGUGUUUGUCUUUAAUUCUUCAGCCCUCACCUCCUGGCCUCUCAUUUUUGAAUCAACAUUUUUUCUUUCUGUCCCUUUCUCCAUCUCUUGGUCACUAUCCUCCAACUCUAGGAACAGGUAUGGAGGAAAAGCCCUAGGCUUGAGAUUUCAUCUGCUCUCCUUUCUGAAUCUCAGAGGAGGGUAGGAGAAGGGGGUGGUAUCUUCCCUCCCCCCAGCACUGAGGAAGAAUGGGGCUCUUCCCCUUUCUCCCUUGCCCCCAGGACUGGGCCAUUUGUGGGGCAGCCAGUUCUAGCACAGCUCACACUGAGAGUGUAAGAACUACAAACAAAAUUUCUAUUAAAUUAAGUUUUGUGUCUUCCCUA